AUUGAACGCUGGCGGCAUGCUUUACACAUGCAAGUCGAACGGUAACAGGUCUUCGGAUGCUGACGAGUGGCGAACGGGUGAGUAAUACAUCGGAACGUGCCUAGUAGUGGGGGAUAACUACUCGAAAGAGUAGCUAAUACCGCAUGAGAUCUACGGAUGAAAGCAGGGGACCUUCGGGCCUUGUGCUACUAGAGCGGCUGAUGGUAGAUUAGGUAGUUGGUGGGGUAAAGGCUUACCAAGCCUGCGAUCUGUAGCUGGUCUGAGAGGACGACCAGCCACACUGGGACUGAGACACGGCCCAGACUCCUACGGGAGGCAGCAGUGGGGAAUUUUGGACAAUGGGCGAAAGCCUGAUCCAGCAAUGCCGCGUGCAGGAUGAAGGCCCUCGGGUUGUAAACUGCUUUUGUACGGAACGAAAAGCCUGGGGCUAAUAUCCCCGGGUCAUGACGGUACCGUAAGAAUAAGCACCGGCUAACUACGUG
rnacentral:rRNA from 1 species